UGCUGGAGGUAUCAGAAGUGCGAAUGCUGACAUAAGUAACGAUAAAGCGGGUGAAAAGCCCGCUCGCCGGAAGACCAAGGGUUCCUGUCCAACGUUAAUCGGGGCAGGGUGAGUCGACCCCUAAGGCGAGGCCGAAAGGCGUAGUCGAUGGGAAACGGGUUAAUAUUCCCGUACUUGGUGUUACUGCGAAGGGGGGACGGAGAAGGCUAUGUUGGCCGGGCGACGGUUGUCCCGGUUUAAGCGUGUAGGUGUGUGUUCCAGGUAAAUCCGGUUCACUUUAACACUGAGGCGUGACGACGAGGCACUACGGUGCUGAAGCAACAAAUGCCCUGCUUCCAGGAAAAGCCUCUAAGCAUCAGGUAACAUCAAAUCGUACCCCAAACCGACACAGGUGGUCAGGUAGAGAAUACCAAGGCGCUUGAGAGAACUCGGGUGAAGGAACUAGGCAAAAUGGUGCCGUAACUUCGGGAGAAGGCACGCUGACACGUAGGUGAAGUGAUUUACUCACGGAGCUGAAGUCAGUCGAAGAUACCAGCUGGCUGCAACUGUUUAUUAAAAACACAGCACUGUGCAAACACGAAAGUGGACGUAUACGGUGUGACGCCUGCCCGGUGCCGGAAGGUUAAUUGAUGGGGUCAGCGCAAGCGAAGCUCCUGAUCGAAGCCCCGGUAAACGGCGGCCGUAACUAUAACGGUCCUAAGGUAGCGAAAUUCCUUGUCGGGUAAGUUCCGACCUGCACGAAUGGCGUAAUGAUGGCCAGGCUGUCUCCACCCGAGACUCAGUGAAAUUGAACUCGCUGUGAAGAUGCAGUGUACCCGCGGCAAGACGGAAAGACCCCGUGAACCUUUACUAUAGCUUGACACUGAACAUUGAGCCUUGAUGUGUAGGAUAGGUGGGAGGCUUUGAAGUGUGGACGCCAGUCUGCAUGGAGCCGACCUUGAAAUACCACCCUUUAAUGUUUGAUGUUCUAACGUGGACCCGUUACCCGGGUUGCGGACAGUGUCUGGUGGGUAGUUUGACUGGGGCGGUCUCCUCCUAAAGAGUAACGGAGGAGCACGAAGGUUGGCUAAUCCUGGUCGGACAUCAGGAGGUUAGUGCAAUGGCAUAAGCCAGCUUGACUGCGAGCGUGACGGCGCGAGCAGGUGCGAAAGCAGGUCAUAGUGAUCCGGUGGUUCUGAAUGGAAGGGCCAUCGCUCAACGGAUAAAAGGUACUCCGGGGAUAACAGGCUGAUACCGCCCAAGAGUUCAUAUCGACGGCGGUGUUUGGCACCUCGAUGUCGGCUCAUCACAUCCUGGGGCUGAAGUAGGUCCCAAGGGUAUGGCUGUUCGCCAUUUAAAGUGGUACGCGAGCUGGGUUUAGAACGUCGUGAGACAGUUCGGUCCCUAUCUGCCGUGGGCGCUGGAGAACUGAGGGGGGCUGCUCCUAGUACGAGAGGACCGGAGUGGACGCAUCACUGGUGUUCGGGUUGUCAUGCCAAUGGCACUGCCCGGUAGCUAAAUGCGGAAGAGAUAAGUGCUGAAAGCAUCUAAGCACGAAACUUGCCCCGAGAUGAGUUCUCCCUGAGACUUAGAGUCUCCUGAAGGAACGUUGAAGACGACGACGUUGAUAGGCCGGGUGUGUAAGCGCAGCGAUGCGUUGAGCUAACCGGUACUAAUGAACCGUGAGGCUUAACCUUACAACGCCGAAG
rnacentral:rRNA from 1 species